rnacentral:rRNA from 1 species
UACGGGGGGAGCAAGCGUUGUUCGGAUUUACUGGGCGUAAAGGGCGCGUAGGCGGCCACCGCAAGUCAAUUGUGAAAUCUCCGGGCUUAACUCGGAACGGUCAACUGAUACUGCGGGGCUAGAGUGCGGAAGGGGCAACUGGAAUUCUCGGUGUAGCGGUGAAAUGCGUAGAUAUCGAGAGGAACACCUGCGGCGAAGGCGGGUUGCUGGGCCGACACUGACGCUGAAGCGCGAAAGCUAGGGGAGCGAACGGG